rnacentral:rRNA from 1 species
GACGAACGCUGGCGGCGUGCUUAACACAUGCAAGUCGAACGGAAAGGCCCUGCUUUUGUGGGGUGCUCGAGUGGCGAACGGGUGAGUAACAAGUGAGUAACCUGCCCUUGACUUUGGGAUAACUUCAGGAAACUGGGGCUAAUACCGGAUAGGAGCUCCUGCUGCAUGGUGGGGGUUGGAAAGUUUCGGCGGUUGGGGAUGGACUCGCGGCUUAUCAGCUUGUUGGUGGGGUAGUGGCUUACCAAGGCUUUGAGGGGUAGCCGGCCUGAGAGGGUGACCGGCGACAUUGGGCCUGCGGGACGGACCAGACUCCUACGGGAGGCAGCAGUGGAGAGUAUUACACAAUGGGGGGGAGCCUGAUGCAGCAACGCCGGGAGCGGGAUGAUGGCCUUCGGGUUGUAAACCGCUGUCGCCUGUGACGAAGCGGGAGUGACGGUAAUGGGUAAAGAAGCACCGGCUAACUACGUG